UGACGACACAGUUUACCGGUACUUAUGCGAUGAAAAGAAGAUUGGAAGUAUUAUCGGCAGGGGAAGUGAGAUUGUUAAGCGAUUAAGGGUGGACACUAAAUCUAAAAUCAGGAUUGGUGAGACUGUCCUGACUGUGAGGAACGUGUUGUCACUAUCUACAGCGCAAGUGAGGAAACAAACAACUUUGAUGGCUCUGAAAAUUGUAUUUG
rnacentral:misc_RNA from 1 species